rnacentral:rRNA from 1 species
UUUACCCCAAUACGGGGAAAAGAAACUAACAAGGAUUCCCCUAGUAACGGCGAGUGAAGCGGGAAGAGCUCAAAUUUGAAAUCUGGCAGUCUUCGAUUGUCCGAGUUGUAAUCUAUAGAGGCGUUUUCCGUGCCGGACCGUGUCCAAGUCUCCUGGAAAGGAGUAUCAAAGAGGGUGAUAAUCCCGUACUUAACACGACCACCGGUGCUCUGUGAUACGUCUUCUACGAGUCGAGUUGUUUGGGAAUGCAGCUCAAAAUGGGUGGUGAAUUCCAUCUAAAGCUAAAUAUUGGCGAGAGACCGAUAGCGAACAAGUACCGUGAGGGAAAGAUGAAAAGCACUUUGGAAAGAGAGUUAAACAGUACGUGAAAUUGUUGAAAGGGAAACGAUUGAAGUCAGUCGUGUUCUUUGGAUUCAGCCAGUUCUGCUGGUCUACUUCCUUGGAACGGGUCAACAUCAGUUUUGUCCGGUGGAUAAAGGUAGUAGGAAUGUGACUUCUCCGGAAGUGUUAUAGCCUAUUAUCACAUACACUGGGUGAGACUGAGGACUGCAGCUCGCCUUUAUGGCCGGCCUUCGGGCACGUUCGAGCUUAGGAUGUUGACAUAAUGGCUUUAAACACCCGCUAAAAACCGGGGGCCCC